GUGCUCCUCCUUUCUUCUCCGCGCUGCCGCUUGAGCCUCUCCUUACCGGUGGCGCCGCCUCUCCUCUCUUGUCGAGUUGUUGUCCAACUCACCACCAGCGACCCACCCUCCUAUCAUCUAGCAUUCUCAUCACUUGCUCCUCCUCCUUUUCUUCUCUGUGGGAUGGCAUGCUCACUCAUGUGACUCUUCCCCUGCUUAGUUUACCCCCUAGAGACGUGCCCAGUGGUCAGGGUUUGUGGUCACGCCUCAGCUCGGUCAGUAUGGUUCGGACGAAGAAUGCCACUAUAGGAGGAGGUGAUGAUCAGGAUCCUUCCUCACCCUUUUCGCCAGGACAAGGGCAAUGCAAUCUACCUUGAGCGAUAGGGAGGCAAGAAGAAGUGCAAACUUGAUAAAGCUAUUCGAGUAGCGGUUGCAGCAGCAUCGGCUGAGAGAGUAGAGCAGGGAGGACAAAUGCAUAUUGGCUCUGAUCAAAUUGCUUACAUUGUCAGACAUUAGUCAUUUUGGUUACGCUCCACUCCAGCUAGACUUGACCCCUCACUACAGCCCUCUGCUCCAGCCACCACUACCACUCCAGCCUUGUCUACUCUAGUACCUACAACUACCCUCGCUACACCAAUAGCUUCCACCACGCCUGCUUCCCCCACUCCCACUCCCUUCACUACUCCACCUGUUUCUUCACCUCGUUUCCGAGAGCAUGAUGAGACCAAGGUACAACCCCUGGCUGAGUAUCGGAGGCUAUUUGACCUUCAUAGAGACACUGCCACCAGGAUUCGACGCUUUAGACAUGUGCUGGUGGAUACCUAGUUUCUAGCACAGCGUGACUCGACAGCUGGUCCUCUGUUCAGCACACAAACUCGGGAGUCGUUCUACAGAGCUCAGCAGACUGUUCAGAUCGCCUUGAGGGCUCAUCGGUGGAUACAGAGAUUGUGGGUCACAUCAUCUAACUACCUGGCAUGUCCACUCUCUUGGAUUUUGGUGGUUGCUAUGUUGAGGAGUCGGUCAAAGUCUUCUACGCUAUAGUCUGGAUUGACAUCGACCACCAGUGGAUGAGAUUUUGCUUUAAGCGAGAGAAUGUCACUUUACAUGCUAAUCAGAUCAGAGAGUUGUUUGGUUUUCUUGAGUCAUCGACGAGGCUACACGAUCUUUGCUAUGGUUCUGCAGACCCAUCUCGUCGCCCUCACGGUGGAGUUGCUCCAGGUAUUGCUCAUGUCUCGGUUCUCAUCCGACCACCGUUCACAAAUGGAUUGAGGCGUUCUCUAGCGGACUUCACCACACCUGCAAAGUUUCUACAUGCUCUGAUGAGGUGGACACUUUUACCUCGCAUGGGAUAUAGAGAGGCCACCACUCAUAUUUAGCUCUGGCUCCUAGGUGCCUUGGUUUCUCACUUGGUGUUCGACAUUGUAGAUUUUUUUAUCUGUGAGA